rnacentral:rRNA from 1 species
GAUGAACGCUGGCGGCGUGCCUAAUACAUGCAAGUCGAGCGAACGGACGAGAAGCUUGCUUCUCUGAUGUUAGCGGCGGACGGGUGAGUAACACGUGGAUAACCUACCUAUAAGACUGGGAUAACUUCGGGAAACCGGAGCUAAUACCGGAUAAUAUUUUGAACCGCAUGGUUCAAAAGUGAAAGACGGUCUUGCUGUCACUUAUAGAUGGAUCCGCGCUGCAUUAGCUAGUUGGUAAGGUAACGGCUUACCAAGGCAACGAUGCAUAGCCGACCUGAGAGGGUGAUCGGCCACACUGGAACUGAGACACGGUCCAGACUCCUACGGGAGGCAGCAGUAGGGAAUCUUCCGCAAUGGGCGAAAGCCUGACGGAGCAACGCCGCGUGAGUGAUGAAGGUCUUCGGAUCGUAAAACUCUGUUAUUAGGGAAGAACGUAUGUGUAAGUAACUGUGCACAUCUUGACGGUACCUAAUCAGAAAGCCACGGCUAACUACGUGCCAGCAGCCGCGGUAAUACGUAGGUGGCAAGCGUUAUCCGGAAUUAUUGGGCGUAAAGCGCGCGUAGGCGGUUUUUUAAGUCUGAUGUGAAAGCCCACGGCUCAACCGUGGAGGGUCAUUGGAAACUGGAAAACUUGAGUGCAGAAGAGGAAAGUGGAAUUCCAUGUGUAGCGGUGAAAUGCGCAGAGAUAUGGAGGAACACCAGUGGCGAAGGCGACUUUCUGGUCUGUAACUGACGCUGAUGUGCGAAAGCGUGGGGAUCAAACAGGAUUAGAUACCCUGGUAGUCCACGCCGUAAACGAUGAGUGCUAAGUGUUAGGGGGUUUCCGCCCCUUAGUGCUGCAGCUAACGCAUUAAGCACUCCGCCUGGGGAGUACGACCGCAAGGUUGAAACUCAAAGGAAUUGACGGGGACCCGCACAAGCGGUGGAGCAUGUGGUUUAAUUCGAAGCAACGCGAAGAACCUUACCAAAUCUUGACAUCCUUUGACAACUCUAGAGAUAGAGCCUUCCCCUUCGGGGGGGCAAAGUGACAGGUGGUGCAUGGUUGUCGUCAGCUCGUGUCGUGAGAUGUUGGGUUAAGUCCCGCAACGAGCGCAACCCUUAAGCUUAGUUGCCAUCAUUAAGUUGGGCACUCUAAGUUGACUGCCGGUGACAAACCGGAGGAAGGUGGGGAUGACGUCAAAUCAUCAUGCCCCUUAUGAUUUGGGCUACACACGUGCUACAAUGGACAAUACAAAGGGCAGCGAAACCGCGAGGUCAAGCAAAUCCCAUAAAGUUGUUCUCAGUUCGGAUUGUAGUCUGCAACUCGACUACAUGAAGCUGGAAUCGCUAGUAAUCGUAGAUCAGCAUGCUACGGUGAAUACGUUCCCGGGUCU